UUCCAGUCACCCAGUAGAGCCUGGUCCCUACCCUGUGCACACUCAUCCUUAUCUCCUGUGCCACACUAUGCAAAGACCAUGCACAGAUACAAAACCUAGCCACCUGCUCACCUGUGCUAGAGAAGAACUGACUUCCCUACAAAAACACCGAGAUGUGCAUUUUCAAAACCCUCAGUGUUCCGAAUUUCUAACAAGAUUUUUCCAGCCUUCUGAUCCCGGGUGCAUCAUAUCCAGCCCAUGGUAACCUACUUCCAAGAACUUCCAGGUCCAGGCUCUGAGAGACUGAAGCAGAGCUUCGGAGCACCAGGAGGGAGCAUUACAGUGGGCCCCUCCUGCUCAACUUGUCUGGCUGGAUCUUUGGACUUGCCUCCUAUCCUCCUCAGCAUCUGAAGGGACACCAGGACCUGCCUCAGUCUCUGGUCAUCUGGCAUCAACGUAUAUUUGGUGUCCUCCCUCGAUGAGCCCUGUAGCCACAUGCUCAGCAGGCCAUGCUGCUGCCCAGGGCUCUGAGGAUGCAGGGUCAGGCCUUCUCGCUGCCUAGGGUCCCCAUAAGAAAUGGCAUAUGUGUUCUUGCAACUCUAGGAUGUCCUGAGCUCAUCAGGGGUUCUAUCAUCCCACUUUUGCACUUCCAAACCUCUGAAUCAGGAGGAUUCUGGGGCCACCAGCAGCCAGACCUUUUGGGGCCAGCCUGCUGUCUGCUCGCCUGGACCCCUCAUGUCCCGAUCACCUGGGCUCCUACCAGGUGCUUCCCAACUUCUGACUUGGCAGAGGCAGGAGUCCUCCUGUCCCUCGCCUACAGCCCUUUCUAAAGCAUCCACUCCGGUGGCUUCUACUCAUACCUGCUCUGUUCUCCCUUCCAUUGAAUCAGACUCAGACCUUGAAUGAGGAGUAAGAGGCACACGAGUAGGAGAUGAAAAAAAAAAAAACACCCACUCUAUGAAGCAUAUAAUAUACAUGAAAUAAUGCAGCAAAAUCAUCUUUUUCUGUCUUUUUCAUGGGACAAAUAGAGAUAAAAGCUGUCUAAGAUUAAAUGUCUACAUUACUUUCA